rnacentral:rRNA from 1 species
CCUACGGGGUGCAGCAGUGGGGAAUAUUGGACAAUGGGCGAAAGCCUGAUCCAGCCAUGCCGCGUGUGUGAAGAAGGCCUUCGGGUUGUAAAGCACUUUCAGUGGGGAAGAAAGCCUUGGGGCUAAUACCCUCGAGGAAGGACAUCACCCACAGAAGAAGCACCGGCUAACUCCGUGCCAGCAGCCGCGGUAAUACGGAGGGUGCGAGCGUUAAUCGGAAUUACUGGGCGUAAAGCGCGCGUAGGCGGUCUGAUAAGCCGGUUGUGAAAGCCCCGGGCUCAACCUGGGAACGGCAUCCGGAACUGUCAGGCUAGAGUGCAGGAGAGGAAGGUAGAAUUCCCGGUGUAGCAGUGAAAUGCGUAGAGAUCGGGAGGAAUACCAGUGGCGAAGGCGGCCUUCUGGACUGACACUGACGCUGAGGUGCGAAAGCGUGGGUAGCAAACAGGAUUAGAUACCCGGGUAGUC